rnacentral:tRNA from 1 species
UUAAAAGUGGCUGAGUUUUAAGCGUUAGAUUGUAAAUCUAAUACGAGAUUUUCUCCCUUUUAAA